GAUGAACGCUGGCGGCGUGCCUAAUACAUGCAAGUCGAGCGAACAGACGAGGAGCUUGCUCCUCUGACGUUAGCGGCGGACGGGUGAGUAACACGUGGAUAACCUACCUAUAAGACUGGGAUAACUUCGGGAAACCGGAGCUAAUACCGGAUAAUAUAUUGAACCGCAUGGUUCAAUAGUGAAAGACGGUUUUGCUGUCACUUAUAGAUGGAUCCGCGCCGCAUUAGCUAGUUGGUAAGGUAACGGCUUACCAAGGCAACGAUGCGUAGCCGACCUGAGAGGGUGAUCGGCCACACUGUAACUGAGACACGGUCCAGACUCCUACGGGAGGCAGCAGUAGGGAAUCUUCCGCAAUGGGCGAAAGCCUGACGGAGCAACGCCGCGUGAGUGAUGAAGGUCUUCGGAUCGUAAAACUCUGUUAUUAGGGAAGAACAAAUGUGUAAGUAACUAUACACGUCUUGACGGUACCUAAGCAGAAAGCCACGGCUAACUACGU
rnacentral:rRNA from 1 species